GACGAACGCUGGCGGCGUGCUUAACGCAUGCAAGUCGAACGGAAAGGCCCCUUCGGGGGUACUCGAGUGGCGAACGGGUGAGUAACACGUGAGUAACCUGCCCUUGACUUCGGGAUAACUUCAGGAAACUGGGGCUAAUACCGGAUAGGAAUCCUUGCUGCAUGGUGGGGGUUGGAAAGCUUCGGCGGUUUUGGAUGGACUCGCGGCUUAUCAGCUUGUUGGUGGGGUAGUGGCUUACCAAGGCUUUGACGGGUAGCCGGCCUGAGAGGGCGACCGGCCACAUUGGGACUGAGAUGCGGCCGAGGCUCCUACGGGAGGCAGCAGGGGGGAAUAUUGCACAAUGGGCGGAAGCCUGAUGCAGCAACGCCGCGUGCGGGAUGACGGCCUUCGGGUUGUAAACCGCUUUCAGCAGGGGCGAAGCUUGUGGUGACGGUACCUGCAGAAGAAGCACCGGCUAACUACGUG
rnacentral:rRNA from 1 species